GACGAACGCUGGCGGCGUGCUUAACACAUGCAAGUCGAACGGAAAGGCCCUGCUUUUGUGGGGUGCUCGAGUGGCGAACGGGUGAGUAACACGUGAGUAACCUGCCCUUGACUUUGGGAUAACUUCAGGAAACUGGGGCUAAUACCGGAUAGGAGCUCCUGCUGCAUGGGGGGGGUUGGAAAGUUUCGGCGGUUGGGGAUGGACUCGCGGCUUAUCAGCUUGUUGGUGGGGUAGUGGCUUACCAAGGCUUUGACGGGUAGCCGGCCUGAGAGGGUGACCGGCCACAUUGGGACUGAGAUACGGCCCAGACUCCUACGGGAGGCAGCAGUGGGGAAUAUUGCACAAUGGGCGGAAGCCUGAUGCAGCAACGCCGCGUGCGGGAUGCCGGCCUUCGGGUUGUAAACCGCUUUCGCCUGUGACGAAGCGUGAGUGACGGUAAUGGGUAAAGAAGCACCGGCUAACUACGUG
rnacentral:rRNA from 1 species